rnacentral:rRNA from 1 species
AUUGAACGCUGGCGGCAGGCUUAACGCAUGCAAGUCGAACGGUAGCAGGAGAAAGCUUGCUUUCUUGCUGACGAGUGGCGGACGGGUGAGUAAUGCUUGGGAAUCUGGCUUAUGGAGGGGGAUAACUACGGGAAACUGUAGCUAAUACCGCGUAAUAUCGAAAGAUUAAAGUGUGGGACCUUCGGGCCACAUGCCAUAAGAUGAGCCCAAGUGGGAUUAGGUAGUUGGUGGGGUAAAGGCCUACCAAGCCUGCGAUCUCUAGCUGGUCUGAGAGGAUGACCAGCCACACUGGAACUGAGACACGGUCCAGACUCCUACGGGAGGCAGCAGUGGGGAAUAUUGCGCAAUGGGGGAAACCCUGACGCAGCCAUGCCGCGUGAAUGAAGAAGGCCUUCGGGUUGUAAAGUUCUUUCGGUAUUGAGGAAGGGAUGUGUGCUAAUAGUACACGUCAUUGACGUUAAAUACAGAAGAAGCACCGGCUAACUCCGUGCCAGCAGCCGCGGUAAUACGGAGGGUGCGAGCGUUAAUCGGAAUAACUGGGCGUAAAGGGCACGCGGCGGUUAUUUAAGUGAGGUGUGAGAGCCCCGGGCUUAACCUGGGAAGUGCAUUUCAGACUGGGUAACUAGAGUACUUUAUGGAGGGGUAGAAAUCCACGUGUAGCGGUGAAACGCCUAGAGAUGUGGAGGAAUACCCAAAGCGAAGGCGGCCCCUUGGGAAUGUACUGACGCUCAGUGCGGAACCGUGGGGGCUGACAGGAUAAGAUACUCUGGUAGGUGAAAGGCGAAUUCCCAGUGGAUGUUAUGCUGAUCGAUACCUCGACUUCGCAGAGUGAGGCUGUUACCCAUUUUUGUUCUCUUUCUGGGGUUAUAUAAUACUGUGUCUCUGUGGUGUGCCUAUCUGUGUGGCUGUGUGAUGAGUUUGUUUGUUUUUUGUGUAUUGCUGUGUGUAUUGUUGUUUGGUUGCUUGUGCUGUGCUUAGGUUAAUGGUUUGUGUGUGCUCUUUUAUAUGUAAUUGUCUUGUGUUGUGUUGAGUGUUUGCUGUGUGUGUUUCAUUUCUG